rnacentral:lncRNA from 10 species
GUGAUUUAUAGGUAUUGUCCCUACCACUGAGAGAUCCAAUUUGGAUAAUGGAUAAUCCAAAUUAUCCAUUUUGUGGCAGAAGAAGCUGAGACAGAUGAUAAGUCCAAGAUGUCACGUCUCAUCAAUGCCAGAGUUUCAAUGAAAACAAGUUUGCUCAUUUCCAACAAUUACACUUUGGGGUCCCUUUCUCUUUAAAAUGUGAUUUCGAGUGAUUGAAGCUUAUGGAAUGAUGAAUGCCUAGGUGGUUGGGAAAUGUGGUAUAGUGAAAUGAGUCCCUGGAUUUCAGCUUCAACCACAUCUGUGGCAUCACCCGCAUGAACAUGGAUUUAAUUUCUUUUUCUUACUUAAAGAGAUUGUUAAAAAUCUUGUUGCACUGUAAAAAUAUAUCUCCCAGGGAUUUCAUAAAUGAACCUAGCUAGCUAAUUUUACACUCUUCAAAAGUGUGAAAGGAUUCGUAAGAGAAAUAAAUAAUAGAAGGGAGUGUAUGUGGGGGAGAGAGUCAAUCCACUUUGGUCGGCUACUCAUUAUAAGAAAAAUGUUCAGUAAUUAUAAAACUUGAAUAUGCAAUGACUAGGUGUCACAGGUCUUGCAGCUGUUCACAGGCCCUUUUCAGAGGUAAAUAUAGCACCAUAUAUCUCCACACACAAAAAGGCUUGUCACCUGCCAUUGGAAAUGAUGAACAUAAUACGCCCUGCUGCGUAUUGAGGAACAAAGGACCUGCUGCUCCUUCCAGUGUGGUGUCAGGAAAUGUCUCAGUGGAAGUUGUAUAACAUGACUCCUCUAAAAUCUCUUUUAGGUUUGGUUUCUACUCCCGUGCUCUCGAAAUGUCAGCCAACACUGCAAAUGGCAGUCACCUAUUCUGGUCACCACCUGCUGCUUCGGUGCAGAGAUGGCUUGCUUGACUAAAGAACCAAUUCUUAUGCUUGGACUAAGGAAUGUAAAUGGCCAGGGAUCAUUUUAAAGGAAAGUGGCUACUUCUGCAUAAAUAAUAAAGAUGUGCUAGUGGAAGGGGUUGUGACCAUUGGAGAUUUAUUUGUCUAUUUCAGUGCAUGAUACCAUUAGCUUUGAAUUUCCUUUCUGAAUUUCUACCAUGGCUAGAUUCUGUAGCUAGCAAAGAAGACAAAAAGGAAAAAUAUAUGUCAGAUGUGUUUAAUCUGGCUGCCAAAUGCAGGUAUCACAUUCUAUUUAAACAUAGGUUAUUUCUGCUUGUUGAAGCAAAUUUAUUAAUCUUGCUUUUUUUUUUUUCCGAAAUGAACUGGCAUCGUUGCUUGUAUUUUUCAGGAAACCUCUGUGGUAGCUUGUCUUUAGAGCAUGCUCAUAUUAUUCCCACAAUGAUAGGUGAGGCCUGUUCCUCCAGGCCCUGAAUCUAAGCUAGCUUGUUGACCAAGAUAGUGGGACAUCUUGUUGUGCUGUCAAAUUGUUUGUAACACAACUGAUAAAUGUUUUGGGGGAUGGAUACCCCAUUCUCCGUGAUGUGCUUAUUUCACAUUGCUUGCCUGUAUCAAAACAUCCCUUGUGUCCCAUAAAUAUAUACACCUACCAUGUACCCACAAAAAUUAAAAAUUUAAGAAAAUGGGAGAAUGCGGCAGAAAUUACACUGGGCUGACUGUGGACCCAGUCUCCAAGAUGAUUGGCCACUUCUACUUUCUUUUUCAUGGAAAGUUCACCACAGGCGAAUGCCAUGGAAGGAUCCCAACUGUACCAGCACAGUCAUGCCUUGAGGAAGUUCAAACUAGCCACAUAGACAGAUUAUGGGGAAGCAGCUCAUCCCCUGCGGUUCUAGCCAUCUCUGCCAAGGUGCCAAAUAUAGUUGACAGGAAGCUGUGUUCCAGACACAUGUAGCCAAAAACACAGGGCUCCAUCUUACCCCGGCUCCCACGCUCCAGCUAUAAAAUCUCUGCAGGAGGGCAGGUAAGCAGCAUUUGUAUCCUGCCAAAUUCUGUGUUGUGUUGCAGAAGCUCCUCAGGUAAGAGUGGCUGAAAGAUUUUGGGCUCCCUUCCUCUAAUCAGUUCAUACUUUAGAGUGGAAGCAUAGCAGGUCAAGAAUACCGGCCUCCAAUAGUCUUUGUUCCA